GAUGAAGAACGUAGCGAAAUGAGAUACUUGGUGUGAAUUGCAGAAUCCCGUGAACCAUCGAGUCUUUGAACGCAAGUUGCGCCCGAAGCCUCGGCUAAGGGCACGUCUGCCUGGGCGUCACGCAUCGCGUCUCCCCCAAACCGCCAAGGCGGAGGGGAAGGAAGAUGGCUUCCCGUGCCUCACCCGGCGCGGUUGGCCUAAAUUUGGAGCCCGCGGCACUUAGCUCACGCGGCGAUAGGUGGUGAACAAGGCCUUGGCCGUGCAAACAACCCGCUGCGAAGCUCUAUGUCACGUGCGCUCGUCGGACCCUUUGAAGUUGCCUUCGGUGACUUAAAACCUUUGCGACCCCAGGUCAGGCGGGGCUACCCGCUGAAUUUAAGCAUAUCAAUAAGCGGAGGA
rnacentral:misc_RNA from 1 species